rnacentral:lncRNA from 1 species
AAAAUGCACAAAGCAAGGAAAGAAUGAAGCAAAAAAAGCAUGCAUUUACUGAAAAUAAAGUACCCUUCACAGGCUCCAGGACUCAAGAACCAAUUAGAGGCUUAAGUGAAACAACCAAUCAGAGGAUGAAUAAAAAUUUAAAUAGCCCUUCCACCCUUCCACCACUUCCACCACUUCCACCACUUUGUGAAGUCACAACAGGUACACCCUAUGCAAGCAUCUGAUUGGUUGUGGAAAGCAACCAAUCAGAGGCUAAAGUGAAGUUACAAAGUUACAUUUCUAUGCAGGCGACUUGGCCUGCGAUCCGUCUGAUUGGUUACAAAGUUACAUUCCUACGCAGAAGCAACCAGAGAUACUUUCAAUUUUCCAUGUGCCACGCAGAAAGUUCUAGGAAGUCAGUGUGAAUCGGCCUUAGUUUCCUUGCCUCCAGACCCUAUUCUCCUGCCUCACUUUUGCACCAACCUCAUACAACAACCCAUACAGAACUUGAAGAUCCAGGAAGCCUCUGCCUCCAUCCAGGAGCCGCUUCAUCCUCUACUCGGUGUAACUAUCUCUGAGAUUCCACAUCCUUUGAGAUUAAAAACACUUUACAUCUUCUGGGUCUGUUGACGGGUCCUUCCACCAAUCACAUCGCUGUGCUUCUGUGACAACUGAACACAACUGGAAGUGAAAAACAACUCCUCAUUCAAAGGGGUUUAACGUUCCUUGUAGAUUCUGGAUAUUGGGCCUUUGUCAGAUGCAUAGAUUGCAAAAAUUUUCUCCCACUCUGCCAAAAGAGGAGUACAUCUGAACAGCAAUAGAGCAGAGGAAGAAACCCUAAGUCAUGUUGUAGCCUAAUACCAUGGAGUAGCACAGACUUUGAAACCAGGCAGAACCAGAACUUGAACAGAUCUCUUCAGAACCGGGAAAACAUCUCCUUUUGUUGACAUCACAUGAAGGUUGAAGUCCGCUGUCAGGACCAUGUUUAAGGAUCUCAAUUGCCAUGUGGAUAAGCCUUACGGAAUGGAAAUGGAGUAAAAACUCCACUCGGGUAUCACCUGAAGCCCCUGCCUCCAAGAUCCAAAGUCAGUCUUUACAGUAAUAAAGCGAGAAAUAGUAAUAAAGCGAGAUCUUCAAGAAUUCUUAAAAGGAGUUUUGAGGAAUCAAGGAAACUACAAGGAGAAGCAACACUGUAAAUAAAUAUAUGGAAGUUGAAAAUGGAUCUUCAACAAGUGAUAAACAAUCCAGAAACACGGUACUAAA